UACGGAGGGGGCGAGCGUUAUUCGGAAUUACUGGGCGUAAAGCGCGUGUAGGCGGCGGCGUAAGUCGAAUGUGAAAUCCCUUGGCUUAACCAAGGAAGUGCAUCCGAUACUGCGUCGCUUGAGUGCCGGAGGGGAUGGCGGAAUUCCUGGUGUAGAGGUGAAAUUCGUAGAUAUCAGGAGGAACACCUGUGGCGAAGGCGGCCAUCUGGACGGUAACUGACGCUGAGACGCGAAAGCGUGGGUAGCAAACAGG
rnacentral:rRNA from 1 species